rnacentral:rRNA from 1 species
GGCGAACGGGUGAGUAACACGUGAGUAACCUGCCCUUGACUCUGGGAUAAGCCUGGGAAACUGGGUCUAAUACCGGAUAUGACCUUCCAUCGCAUGGUGGUUGGUGGAAAGCUUUUGUGGUUUUGGAUGGACUCGCGGCCUAUCACCUUGUUGGUGGGGUAAUGGCCUACCAAGGCGACAACAGGUAGCCGGCCUGAGAGGGUGACCGGCCACACUGGGACUGAGACACGGCCCAGACUCCUACGGGAGGCAGCAGUGGGGAAUAUUGCACAAUGGGCGCAAGCCUGAUGCAGCGACGCCGCGUGAGGGAUGACGGCCUUCGGGUUGUAAACCUCUUUCAGUAGGGAAGAAACGUAAGUGACGGUACCUGCAGAAAAAGCGCCGGCUAACUACGUGCCAGCAGCCGCGGUAAUACGUAGGGCGCAAGCGUUAUCCGGAAUUAUUGGGCGUAAAGAGCUCGUAGGCGGUUUGUCGCGUCUGCCGUGAAAGUCCGGGGCUCAACUCCGGAUCUGCGGUGGGUACGGGCAGACUAGAGUGAUGUAGGGGAGACUGGAAUUCCUGGUGUAGCGGUGAAAUGCGCAGAUAUCAGGAGGAACACCGAUGGCGAAGGCAGGUCUCUGGGCAUUAACUGACGCUGAGGAGCGAAAGCAUGGGGAGCGAACAGGAUUAGAUACCCUGGUAGUCCAUGCCGUAAAACGUUGGGCACUAGGUGUGGGGGACAUUCCACGUUUUCCGCGCCGUAGCUAACGCAUUAAGUGCCCCGCCUGGGGAGUACGGCCGCAAGGCUAAAACUCAAAGGAAUUGACGGGGGCCCGCACAAGCGGCGGAGCAUGCGGAUUAAUUCGAUGCAACGCGAAGAACCUUACCAAGGCUUGACAUGAACCGGACCGGGCUGGAAACAGUCUUUCCCCUUGUGGGCUGGUUUACAGGUGGUGCAUGGUUGUCGUCAGCUCGUGUCGUGAGAUGUUGGGUUAAGUCCCGCAACGAGCGCAACCCUCGUUCUAUGUUGCCAGCACGUGAUGGUGGGGACUCAUAGGAGACUGCCGGGGUCAACUCGGAGGAAGGUGGGGACGACGUCAAAUCAUCAUGCCCCUUAUGUCUUGGGCUUCACGCAUGCUACAAUGGCCGGUACAAAGGGUUGCGAUACUGUGAGGUGGAGCUAAUCCCAAAAAGCCGGUCUCAGUUCGGAUUGGGGUCUGCAACUCGACCCCAUGAAGUCGGAGUCGCUAGUAAUCGCAG